rnacentral:lncRNA from 1 species
AGUUUGCUUUCAUCCAAGGAGAGUUUCAUCUAGUUGCCAUCCUUCUUCCUAUAAGUCCUGCUUUCUAAUGCCUUGAAGGCAGAGUGCUUCGAAUUAGAAGUAAGUGAUUCGAUCCCGUAAGAGUUUCCCUUCAACCCCUUUUAUAUAGGUAGCAUUAUUGGUUGGUGGUUCAAUUAUAGUGAUGUAUCUUUUUUGUUUGAAAUAGGAUGUUAGUUAAUAGGAGUUUAUAGGUUCUAAUAUUAAUGCUCUGCUUGUGAGAUUGUUUGUGCAUAAUUAUCUAAGGAGAAUGGGCUAGAAUGUUGCCAUUACCAGACUUUAUUGGUGGGGGUGAGGAAGUUUAAGCUUUUGAACUUCCAAAUUUCAAUAAUUUAUCUUGUCAACUAAAUCUUUGUAUCCUCAUUUUUAGUUCAUAUUUAUCCUUCUUCCAAAGCUAUUACCCCAGUGUCACAGGCACGUGUUUUUUAGACUGAAACCAUUUGUUUGUCAAGUACCAAAACUACUCUUAGUUAAGGUUAGCCUUUUUCGAGUUCAUUUCUAUAUGGACAGAUUGUUACUGAUCCUUUAAGCCACAUACUUGUAAGCUUUUUCUAACUUAGACCCCGUAGGGUUGCACACAACAUUCCCAAAUUUGAUAGGGAGAAACCUAACUCCCAUUAUCUCAUCAGCUUACGAUUCUCAGGGUGGCCAUAAGCACCCAUAUCUGCCCAUGGCAUUAAGGUCCUGAGUAAUGACUCAUUUGGCUUAUAAGGGUGUAUGGCCUCGAUUUUCUUUUUGUUAUCUCAUUUUGGCAUGGUGAAAACCUAACACCAUGCCUGCCCGCAUCGUACACAAGCUCUUAUGCUUAGAUCCCUAAGGCACAACACAUGCUGGUUAGCAGCCAGCUUAAAGCCACACUAGGCUCAUCUCGUCUUAUAAAACUUAUAUCUCAGGGCCUCAACCCUUAGCCUUAUUCUAGGCUGCUUGCACACAUGAUGGACACUUAGCAUCAUGCCUGUCCCAUCUUAGGGACUUGGGUGUGCUACCCCAGCUAUAACACACCUCUACCACAAAGGUUUAGUAGUGUGUCUACCUACUAGCUCACUUAUCCUUCAGGCUCGAUGGUACCCCUUCUACACAAACACCAUCUCAUGAUCCUUUUGGUACAAUGAGGGGAAACCAAAUAGCUUAGCAAAUGCUACAGCUUAACCCCAUGGUUUAACUUAAAGGCGUGAUAUAAGGCUCAAGGGUUCAACGUAAGCGCGAUAUGAGGCCUGCCAACCUUGACUAUCCCCAUGUUUAUCAUGACUCG